GAAAAAAAAAAAUCUAACAGUUCUUUGCCACUAUACUAGUGUAUUUAAUUAUGAUUGCGAAAAAUUGCAGAGGGAAACGAUUUGCUGGCAAUUAAGUAGCAACUGGUUAAAGUUUUUUUUCAAUUUGUCUUUGAAGACAACUGCUGUACUAUGUAUAAAGAAGAGUAUAGCAGGGAAGUUCGAAAGCACACACGGAAUUUUAAAUCUGUUAAAAAUAUUUUUUAAGCAAAGAAGGUGGUAUUUUAAAAGCAUUUAAAACAGCGCCUGGUAUAUAGUAAGCGCCAUAGAAGUCUGUUAAGAAUGCAUAGGGCAAGAGAGCUCAGGGUUUUGAACGCUAUCAAAAUAAUAUGCUUAUUUAUCUGCAAAACACAAUAGCAAUUAGGCAGCACGAGAUUUCCCCAUUAGGUCGUUUAUUCUCCUCAGCUGUUUAUUCCAUUUGCCUGUCCCUUGGUUGAGCGCCUUGUCUGUCUAUAACCGAAAGUGCGUUUCGGGUCAGAGAGACAGAAACAGACACAGGAAACCCUUUAAAGCGCCCCCGCCGACUUAAAUACGGUAGUGGAUUGGAGGUGGGGAGGUGUAGGGGAGGCGUUAUGUGGAGAGAAAGAAAAGAGAAAGAAUGAGGGAACGGCGGGAUUUCAAGCCUCCCCGCCCUUCUGCGACAACCUUUUCAGCGAAAGGGAAGGCUUAGGAAGAAAAGAUGUCCGCGCGUAGAGCAAACCGCAGUUCUUUCCUUUCUUUUUGAAGGAUUUGUACCAUGAGUUAAUUACACCAAAAGAUACGAGGGACUUUAUUAGAAAGGAGAUGCCGUUAGGAAAGAAAGGCCAGGACGGCCGAUCUAAAGGGAAUGGAGAAGGGAAGACUCAGACGCCCUCCCGAAAUUGGUGGUCUAGCCUGUGUUUUGUGCUAAAUGUUAUUUAACUUAAUGGCGUGGGAGUGAGAUGUUGAAUGCAGAGAUCUGGAAAUACCAGAUUUAGUGGUCCUGUUCCUCCUCCCCGACUCUUUUCACACCCAUUUAAUAAAAAGUUACAGUUUUUACACCCGUAUUGAUAAAUUUGGCGAUGUUGGCCAAGUAUUAUCUCGCCCCGCAGAUUUUGAAUUUUGUUGCACAAACCGAUGAAAUGAUUGCUUUGCUAUAAUUGUAAAACUUUUUUGGAACGAACCUGGAUUUUUUUUAUGCCUCUUCAUCUACUUUUUGCUUCAUUAGAGCCCUCUGGUUUUCCAAGAUCGACUGUCACACUUUGUUAUUUGUUGCUUCUCUAAAUCCUUUGAGAUGCUGCUCGCAGCUACGUAAAAAACGUUGGCCACUCAGGUAUUUGAUGGGCUUAGAAAGUCACCAAGAUGUGACACCAUUUAAAAGUUUUAGCUUGGUUUCUCAGUGAAAUAAGGGCAUCUCUGUUAAUUAGAAAACUUUGUGUUAGUCUGAGAUGCCUAAGAGCAUAGUCCAAAUUGAAAAUUCCAAUAUUUUGCCACAUCUGAAAUAUAAUUAUUUACACAGCCUUCUCUUUCAAAGGGAGGACAAACAGGUUGCCUUGAGAAGAGCUAUUCUAUUUGCAAUUGCUGGGGCAGGUGACAAACACGUGUGUAUCUGUGGGCAGCCUUGUUGGGCUGCCUUCCCUGACUACAAGGCUUUUGUGAGCUGGUAACGCCUUAAAAUGUGUGAGAAUGCUGCGCCCUAGGAGUGGAGGCCAAGGGCAAGAUCCUUGUACAUUUCAAUACCUUUUCCAACAUCAGGCUGGCAGCAGGCAGGCCAACCUAGGGUCACUGUGUGACACAUAUUUGCAAGCCAGUAAAGCAAAACAAAGCUGAAAGCAAGUGCAAAUUUAGGCCCACCAACCUUGAAGUCAUCCCUGAAAGGGAGCUGCUUUACUAGUUAAUUUUUCUUGCCCAGUCAGCCACACAAAAUGCAUUGUAUUUCUUGGCUUGCCCCAGUAAUUGCGACUUACUUGUUACAGCAGAAGCUUCAAGGUAGGAAAUCUAUGACCCAAAGCUCUCUCUCGAAAGUUAGAAUGUUUAAACUGAUCUUUAAAACUGUUGUUGAGGGGCAAUUUAUUUAAAAGCUUUUAUUUUAUGGUGUUGUUAGUGCUUAGCAUGCCUCAGGAUAAAGACUAGUUUUAUUGCAGGACCCUUGAGAAGAGGGGUGUAUAGCAAGUAACCAGUUUUCCGUGUGCCAGUAAGCAACAGUGAGAACACUCAGUGUAUUAGCUUAACUUUUUGUGGGAGUUAAAUUGAUGUUGGCAGGCUUUGCCUUUAAGGAAGUUCUUUUAAAUUUCCAUUUUCUUGAAGUUGGUUUGAUUGGCAGAUUUCCCCCCUCUCUUAAGGAUACAAUGAAACAUAUUCACUUCUCUUAUGAAAAUAUUCUUUUAAUAAACUACAUUCCCAUCCCCUAGAAAAAUGCCCAGCACACAGUAGGGGUACAAUAAAUGGUUUCAGAUUAAUUUCUUGUUAAAAUUAAUGAACUCUCUGCUUCUUUACUUGUAUAUGUAGAAUUUACACUCAUUGGAAUAAUAAAAUAGAAGUAAGCAACCGUGCAUUAAAAAGCUAUGAAAAGAUGAAGAGAAUAUGCCUUCAAAUGGGAAGGAAUACUUAACUGUGAAUAAGACCUAGUUCAACAUGGAACUUCCUGGUGGCCAAGUCAGAAGAGAAGCACAGAACAAAAACGGAGGCACAGAGAGGUCAAUUGAUUGGUCUAAUGACACAGAUCUAGCAAGUGGUGGAACCAGGACUGAAUCCAGUCAUUCUCUCUCCUGCCGCCCUGUGAACAGG
rnacentral:lncRNA from 1 species